rnacentral:rRNA from 1 species
GGGUUCCUCGGUACUGAAGUUAACACAUUAAGUACUCCGCCUGAGUAGUACGUACGCAAGUAUGAAACUUAAAGGAAUUGACGGGAUCCCGCACAAGCGGUGGAUCAUGUUGUUUAAUUCGAAGAUACACGAAAAACCUUACCAGGUCUUGACAUUAUCCUGCGAAGCUAUAGAAAUAUAGGGGAGGUUAUCAGGAUAACAGGUGGUGCAUGGUUGUCGUCAGCUCGUGUCGUGAGAUGUUAGGUUAAGUCCUAAAACGAGCGCAACCCUUGUCGUUAGUUACCAGCACGUUAUGGUGGGGACUUUAGCGAGACUGCCAAUGAAAAAAUUGGAGGAAGGUGAGGAUUACGUCAAAUCAUCAUGCCCCUUAUGAUCUGGGCUACAAACGUGAUACAAUGGCUAUUACAAAGAGCAGCUGAAACGUGAGUUGUUAGCUAAUCUCAAAAAAAUAGUCUCAGUUCGGAUUGAAGUCUGCAACUCGACUUCAUGAAGUUGGAAUCGCUAGUAAUCGCGAAUCAGCAUGUCGCGGUGAAUACGUUCUCGGGGUUUGUACACACCGCCCGUCAAACCAUGAAAGUUGACAAUACCCAAAACCAGUCGCUUAACUACUUCGGUAGAGGGAGCUGUCUAAGGUAGGGUCGAUGAUUGGGGUUAAGUCGUAACAAGGUAUCCCUACCGGAAGGUGGGGAUGGAUCACCUCCUUUCUAAGGAAAUGUCGUAUCAUGAUCAUCUUCAGUUUUGAAAGACUUAGAGUAGAUAAGUUUUUCUUUUGGCGUAGAGGAAGGGCCUAUAGCUCAGUUGGUAGAGCACACGCUUGAUAAGCGUGCGGUCAAUGGUUCAAGUCCAUUUAGGCCCACCAUACCACAUUC